rnacentral:rRNA from 1 species
AUACGUAGGGGGCAAGCGUUGUCCGGAAUUAUUGGGCGUAAAGGGUGCGUAGGCGGCUUUUUAAGUCAGAUGUGAAAGACCACGGCUUAACCGUGGGGUUGCAUUUGAAACUGGAAGGCUUGAGUAUCGGAGAGGGUAGUGGAAUUCCCAGUGUAGCGGUGAAAUGCGUAGAUAUUGGGAGGAACACCAGUGGCGAAGGCGACUACCUGGACGAAAACUGACGCUGAUGCACGAAAGCUAGGGGAGCAAACAGGAUUAGAUACCCUGGUAGUCCUAGCCGUAAACGAUGAGUACUAGGUGUAGGGGGUUUCGAUACCUUCUGUGCCGCAGUAAACGCAAUAAGUAUCCCGCCUGGGGAGUACGGCCGCAAGGUUGAA